UGGGGAAUCUUGCACAAUGGGCGAAAGCCUGAUGCAGCAACGCCGCGUGCGGGAAGACAGCCCUAGGGUUGUAAACCGCUUUCAGCAGGGAAGAAACUGACGGUACCUGCAGAAGAAGAUGCGGCCAACUACGUGCCAGCAGCCGCGGUGACACGUAGGCAUCAAGCGUUAUCCGGAUUUAUUGGGCGUAAAGAGCUCGUAGGCGGUUCGGUAAGUCGGGUGUGAAAACUCUGGGCUCAACCCAGAGAGGCCACUCGAUACUGCUGUGACUAGAGUGCGGUAGGGGAGCGGGGAAUUCCUGGUGUAGCGGUGAAAUGCGCAGAUAUCAGGAGGAACACCAGUGGCGAAGGCGGCUACCUGGACCGGUUCUGACGCUGAGGCGCGAAAGCGUGGGGAGCAAACAGGAUUAGAUACCCUGGUAGUCCACGCUGUAAACGAUGGGUGCUCGGUGUUGCGGGUGUUGACCCCUGCAAUGCCUUAGCUAACGCGUUAAGCACCCCGCCUGGGAGUACGGUCGC
rnacentral:rRNA from 1 species